AGCCCUGAUUGGACGCCGGGUUGCUUUUACAUUCCGCAGAUGAGCCAAGCAUAGUAGUUGUCAGGCAGCACUUCGACAGCUAGCUAGAGAUCUGGCUCAGGUUUUCAAAGGUUUAGUUUUAUGUCUGAGAAUAACUUUUAUCUUGUUGUCUUCUUUAUCAGAAAUGCAUCACAGAGCAGUUGAGUCCUCCUCACCUGCAGCCACCACCUCAUCUCCAUCCUCCUCCUCCAGCCGGUGUCCCUUUGCAGCACCAUCAACUUCCACAGCUGCACCUACUCCUCAGCAUCCUCUGUGGAGGAGAAAGAGUAGGUCCACAGUCCUGUCGGGUUCCUCAGAGGAUGAAGAGGAGCAGCUGAUGGAGGAAGCUGGCUUUCAGGAAUAUCAGAUGGACUACAUUCCAGACUUUCGCCUGCAGGCCGGUUCUGAUGAGCUGAUGCUGAAGGCUUCUCCGGCAGCAGCAGGGGAUCCUGUCGUACCGGCCGAAGGGCUCAGCAGCGGUGCUGAGUCAGGACACUGCCUUGAUCCAGGCUGCUGAAGGAGACACGGGUGACACCAAGCUGGUGCUCAGUCAGCACAGCUGUCGUGCAGAGUUACAGGAUGUGGCUGCAGAAGGCCCGGGUCAGUCGGUGGGCUCCAAGAUGGACCACCUGAAGAAAUUCAUGCUGUGGAGGGACCACAAGAGAGCCGCUUCAUCUUCUUCAGGUCCACCAUCUCCUCCACAAGACAGACCUGCAACUGGGCUACAGCCAGCUAAACGUUCCUCCUCCUCUGCAUGGAUCUCACCCUGGAUCAGCUGCCGUCUCUCUCUCCCCUGGACUCUGUCGUAGCGUGGUGUUGUGUGGCCACCAAGCCCUGCUCGUCCGACUGCCACCGAGCCCACCAAGACGCCAUGUUGCAGCCUCACCUCUGCCUGCUGGACUGCCUCCUGUGCCCACCACAAAUUCAAUCUUUUGGGUAAAAUGUCCAGUUGCAGCCCAGAAACAUGACUUCAGCUCUUCAACAGGAUCCAGAUCCUCCUCCAGGCUCUUUUCUCCGACACAAAACAAACAACACGGUCCAGAAGCCUUUCGGGAUGUUUUCAGGACAUUCAUUUAAAUUCCAAAUGGAGAAAAUGACGAGUUUCAGCCCACAAACCCAAACUGACCUCUAAAAUAGACGCCACGUGAACCCUGUAUCACUGACCUCAGCUGUAUCACUGCUUUCACUUUUCUAAAAGUCAAAAUGAGGAACGCUUCACGAAUUUGCGUGUCAUCCUUGCGCAGGGGCCAU